AUUAUUUACAAAAUGUUCAGAUUUAGCAAAAUAUAUAAUCACUUGAUUUUAAAAAAUUAACACUUCAUUUCAAUAAAUAUCUUUGCUUAAUUCAUAAAAAAAUUAAAUCCCCUUCAUACUUUUUGUGCAGCAAAGUGCAAAAAAAAACUUGGCAAAUAGGAGAGUCUUCAUUUUUUAUGUGAUUUAUUUCCCUUUCCCUGUAAUUCCGUAUGGGUUGUUGUUUACAUACAUAUUCAACGCAAUUAGAAACAUACUUAAGACCAUGGGUCAAUUUUUUAUUAUUAUUUAUUAAGGUAAAUUCCUCCACAUUGUGUGUUGGGUAUGCACAGAAGGAAAAGUAAAGUACGAAAAAAAAUCAACACAUACGUGACACGCAAACUACGUCGUCUAGCCAGGAAGGAAGCAAUGUUGCAGUCGGGACGGACGUGUGUGUCUUGUCUUCAUGGAAAUAAUGAAUAAGGAAAAUUAUUGACAUUGUGCACAGAUGAAUGGGUGAAUUGCGUGACUUUCUUUUCGACACUGGAGUUGAGACGAGCUGGUAAAAAAUUUAGGGCAAAGCGAUAUUCCAAGGUUUCAAUUCUUAUACACACUAAGGGCUGCACCAGUAAAAGGGAAUUUUAUUGGGUUUCGGCAUGAAAUUUUGUACCAGUAGGGGUAACGUUUUUGUAUGAUAUAAAUACGUACAGGUCACGUUUUUAGUACAGUUUUUUCGUUUUUGAGAACGGUGGUUGGGUUGUUUUUUCUUAACAAAGUUAUUUAUUUACUUGUGACACCCUAGGUAGCAAAUGUGAUAAUAAAUAAUUUAAGUAUACCGGAUUUUAAGCAAUGGUGAUAAAUUAUCACGGUUGGGUAAUAAGUUCCCACUAGGUGAUGUGGCCCACAUGCAGAGGUGCACACAUGAUUAAUUAAUCUCAAUUAAUGGAUUAAGAAUUAAUUAAUUAGUAAUCUUGCAAAAUAUUUGAUGUAACUAAUAGUUAAUCCAUGUGAAAAUUUUUAAUGGAAUUAAGUAAGGUAAAAAAAUUAUUAUCCCCAACUUUAUCAAUCCAUACUCGAUUAGAGUAUCCUGGUAGAAUUAGAGGUUUAAAUUAUUUUAACGGUCACCAGAUUUCUUAGAGUGUACCGAUUUUAUAGCCAAAACACAACCUCGUGUCGGGAUUACAUAUGUAAAUAUGUAGGAUUCUUUAUCCGUAACUUUUUAGUGGUGCACCCUCUGUAUUUUACUGCUUUAAAUUACUCAACGUCUAAUAAGUGCGUACAAGCCCGUGCAAAUGAAUACUUAAAAUAGCUAAGACACACGAAAAAAUCGUCGUUUUGAAUUUCGCGAGCAUGGCAAAAAUUAUGAAAAUUGGAGAAUUUUGUUACAACUGGAGCUAACCGACAUUAAUCCCACGGCUUAAUGUUUUGACAUAACUCGCUAGUGGAUCCCGGUGUAGCUUGAAAAAAGGUUCAAUUGUGAGUUGAGUUCCGGUUCAGCAGAGCUCGUUUAUCAAUAAGUUAGCGAAAAACUGAGAAAUAUGAAGCCACAAUUUGUUCAUGUGUCUGACGACCCUAUAAUACCUUAGAAAACCUGAAAAGAGUCAAUAUUGUGAUAAACUUCAACCAAAGAGUUUGCCUCCUUUCCACGCGUCUGGCAAGUUUCCGGAACUACUUCCGCCAUGACGCAAAUCAGGAAACACCUAUUAACCAAAGAGGUUCAAGACAAAUUUAUGAAAAUUUCUGAAAAUUUAACCUUAAUCAAUAAUAUGGCAUUGGUCAAACAAAUUUAUCUCGAUGCGACGGGAAUGGGAAGUCUUGCUAAAAAUUUGUCGCCAUUAUUCCACGGGAAGAAGACAAUUGUCCAAAGAAGCAUUUAAACGAAAAUUCAGAGUUUAAUAUUCAACUUAAUGACGAAGUUCCUGGAAUUCUGCGAGCGAAGUUGGACAGUCGCUUCAAGUCGGCAAAGACGCAUCAGCUUUGGAUCGAAUACAACUCUACUUUGCAAAACCACCACGCUAUUACUGGCUACUACUGUGACUGCUGGGCCGGGGCGAGAACAGUGGGGAUGUGCGCUCAUGUCACUUGUGUAAUUUGGUUCGUCGGAUACAAACGUCAUCAAGCUGAGAAUAUACACGUUAGAAAACCAAGGGUGUUGGAGUUUUUGGACGCAGCGGAUGUCAAUCGAAGGUCACGUCAAUCUGCUCCUGGUCCGUCGACGUCCUUGGCCGAGAGAAUGGUUCAAGAGUCUCAAGAUAGUUCUGAUACUCAAAAUUCGCCGCCAAAUAUCAUGAUGCUACGAAGCCACCAACCUCAACAGUUUUAAAAAUGUUCAAACACAACGUGCAGUUCCAAUUUAAUCGAGUCAAGACAAGUGUCUGGGGUAAAGUGCGCUUUAUAUGGUCCUCACUUUAGCACCCCCAGACACUUGGUUAUUAGGCUCUGGUAAUUAAUGAAUCUGCCAGGAGUUGACCAUGAGUUUGUCUCAGAAGUCGACUUUUGGCAGAUUAUAUUAAUUGCCGGAGUCCAAACCUUUGUCACUUUUAUGAUUAUCAUUAUCCUAUCAUGCAAUGCAUUAGUACCGUUUUGGACGCACCUUCAAUGCGGUACUUGUGCAUUUCGUGGCAGUAUAGUGAUAAUAAUUGUAAAGGUGACACUGGUAGUUCCUUACCUUUGUUAAUUUUAAUAUUGUUAUUACUUUUUCACGCAAUUGUGAAGUACCCGAUUUGAAGGUGCAUCAAAAACUGUACUAAAACAUUGCAGGAUUAAGUAGUGAGAAUAUGUAAAGUUAACAUUGGUCAAUGGUGUGAGUCAUCCUAGCUUGCAGUUUACAAAUUACUAAUUCCAAUUAGCUAUUCAACUGUCGUAGUGAAACUGGCAUUUAAUUAGACUCCAAUUAUUUUCUCGUCAUUAGUGUUAAUUACUAUUUAGUUGGAUGAGAUUUGACAAUCAAAGUUAAUGUGGUAUUAUACUUAGUAAAUUGAAAAAAUAUUAAAUUAUAAUGGUCAUGAUCAAAUGAUAACUACAAGACUUUUGAUGACUCACACUCAUAAAAAUGGGGGUGCUAAAGUGAGGAUCAUAAGCGCCACACAAUACUAAUAUUUUAUUGGAAUAUUAGUUUUCAAACUAUUUGUGGGUUUAAUAAAUAAUGUAAUAAUUUGUGUUCUCCGGUUUUGUGUCAUGUUGUAAUAAACCAUUCUCCUAUUUCCACAA